AUUGAACGCUGGCGGCAGGCCUAACACAUGCCAGUCGAGCGGAUGAAGGGAGCUUGCUCCUGGAUUCAGCGGCGGACGGGUGAGUAAUGCCUAGGAAUCUGCCUGGUAGUGGGGGAUAACGUCCGGAAACGGGCGCUAAUACCGCAUACGUCCUGAGGGAGAAAGUGGGGGAUCUUCGGACCUCACGCUAUCAGAUGAGCCUAGGUCGGAUUAGCUAGUUGGUGGGGUAAAGGCCUACCAAGGCGACGAUCCGUAACUGGUCUGAGAGGAUGAUCAGUCACACUGGAACUGAGACACGGUCCAUACUCCUAAGGGAGGCAGCAGUGGGGAAUAUUGGACAAUGGGCGAAAGCCUGAUCCAGCCAUGCCGCGUGUGUGAAGAAGGUCUUCGGAUUGUAAAGCACUUUAAGUUGGGAGGAAGGGCAGUAAGUUAAUACCUUGCUGUUUUGACGUUACCAACAGAAUAAGCACCGGCUAACUUCGUG
rnacentral:rRNA from 1 species